rnacentral:rRNA from 1 species
UACGACUACAUAUCAGGCAUAUCAAUAAGCGGAGGAAAAGAAACUAACUAGGAUUCCCUUAGUAACGGCGAGUGAAGCGGGAAGAGCUCAAAUUUGAAAUCUUCAAGGUUCUACCUUGACGAAUUGUAGUUUAAAGAAGUGUUUUCUGUUGGAGUUUUGGUAAAAGUUCUUUGGAAUAGGACAUCAUAGAGGGUGAGAAUCCCGUAUUUGACCAUUUCUUCCAGCUGUGUGAUACACUUUCAAAGGGUCGGAUUGUUUGGGAAUGCAGUCCAAAAUGGGUGGUAAAUUUCAUCUAAAGCUAAAUAUUGGCGAGAGACCGAUAGCGAACAAGUACCGUGAGGGAAAGAUGAAAAGAACUUUGAAAAGAGAGUUAAACAGUACGUGAAAUUGUCGAAAGGGAAGCGUUUGACACCAGUGUUGUUUAGUUGAAAAUCAAUUCAAUAGUUUUUGAUUCUAAGUAGUAUUGACUUCAUCAGCUUGCUGCCUUCUUCUCAGAAAUUAUUGAAUGCACUUUUCAGUUAACAAGUCAACAUCAAUUUCUUUUGUUGUAAAAGGGUAAGAGGAAGGUGGCUUGCGCUUCGGCUCAAGUGUUUAUAGCCUUUUAUCUCUGCAAUCGGAGAGAUUGAGGUCUGCAGCGUAGAUCCUUCGGGGUUAGAUACAUUAGAUGCUAAGUUAUAGCUUUGUAUAGACAACUUGUUGACUAUGAUUAAGUCAUGUAGCUUACUCGUUGACUGCUAUUUUACCUACGCUUAGGAUGUUGAACGCGCACAGAGUCUC